AUUGAACGCUGGCGGAAUGCUUUACACAUGCAAGUCGAACGGCAGCACGGGGGCAGCCCUGGUGGCGAGUGGCGAACGGGUGAGUAAUACAUCGGAACGUGCCCGGUCGUGGGGGAUAACGUAGCGAAAGUUACGCUAAUACCGCAUACGAUCUGAGGAUGAAAGCGGGGGACCUUCGGGCCUCGCGCGAUCGGAGCGGCCGAUGUCAGAUUAGGUAGUUGGUGGGGUAAAGGCCUACCAAGCCGACGAUCUGUAGCUGGUCUGAGAGGACGACCAGCCACACUGGAACUGAGACACGGCCCAGACUCCUACGGGAGGCAGCAGUGGGGAAUAUUGGACAAUGGGCGCAAGCCUGAUCCAGCCAUGCCGCGUGCAGGACGAAGGCCUUCGGGUUGUAAACUGCUUUUGUACGGGACGAAAAGGCUCUGGCUAAUACCUGGGGCUCAUGACGGUACCGUAAGAAUAAGCACCGGCUAACUACGUG
rnacentral:rRNA from 1 species